rnacentral:lncRNA from 1 species
CUGCAACACCUCAACAGCAACAAGCACACCUGCUACCUAGAACUUGGUUUCUAAAAACCAUCCUCCUCUAAAAGGAAACAGAGCUCUUUGAAGAAACGGUGAGACAGUCAACAAACCUCUAACCACCGACCUUUUCUCCUCUGCCCUCCACUCACACUCUGCUCCAUCACCCUCAGCCACACAGCUGACGCUGUAGAGAUUCACUGACAUCCAGUCUGAUGGACACUGUUUCUCCAGCCGAAACUGCUCAUGAGAACAUGUGCAGUGAAGUGCUCCAGAGGCCCCAGCAUGCUACAUUACAGAAGACUGAACUCAGGAGAGAUGAGGAAUAAUCCCCUCCAUCACACCAGACACCAGGAGGGUGUGCCAAGGUAUUCUAAUAAUACUGCGUGACAUUACGGACAACUUAGCCUAAAUUAUGGAAAAUCAAAUUAUUUAGUAGAACUGCAAGACAAUCCUCUCAGUUGUUGUAAGGUAACUUUGCUGAACUUGUGAAGAAUGGUGUGCAAGGUCCAGAGCGACUGCAGGAGAGGGAAGGUGGGAUUCCCACAGAGCAGGAGCACAGAUAAGCCAAGCAAGGCCCUGCUUGGAAGGCAGCAAUCAACAGAGAUGCACAGACCUGUGAGGGUGCCGGGACAGCCAUGCAACAAUGCAGCCCUUUUGCUUCCUGAGCUCACCAGUUCCCUCGCUCCACCUCUGAGAGGUGGUUUGGAGAAACACAGCCCUUCUCAAGAGGGCUGCAAGCUACUUAAGUCCUGAAAAUUUCCACAAGGCUGAGUCAAAUCUGCGUUUCAUCAUCUAUAAGAAAGGUACCUAUCGAGAACACCCUGCUGGCCAGUGUGUAAAUAUCUAAAGGAGGACUCAGAAAACACCGGGGAAGUCCAGCCUGCACGUGGUGGCUGGGCUUCAGUGAAGCAUGCAGCACAACAGGAGUUAGCAGACCACAAAGAGCAUGUCUGGACCUAGAACCACAGCAUGUAACCUCGGAAGCAGUGAGACACCAGCCAGCAUGGACAAGCAGCAGGCACUUGCUCUAUACC